rnacentral:rRNA from 1 species
GAUGAACGCUAGCGGCAGGCUUAAUACAUGCAAGUCGUGGGGCAGCAUGAAGUAGCAAUACUUUGAUGGCGACCGGCAAACGGGUGCGGAACACGUACACAACCUUCCUUUUAGUGGGGAAUAGCCCAGAGAAAUUUGGAUUAAUACCCCGUAACAUAGCGAUGUGGCAUCACAUUGCUAUUAUAGCUUCGGCGCUAGAUGAUGGGUGUGCGUAUGAUUAGAUAGUUGGCGAGGUAACGGCUCACCAAGUCUACGAUCAUUAGCUGAUGUGAGAGCAUGAUCAGCCACACGGGCACUGAGACACGGGCCCGACUGCUACGGGAGGCAGCAGUAAGGAAUAUUGGUCAAUGGACGCAAGUCUGAACCAGCCAUGCCGCGUGAAGGAUUAAGGUCCUCUGGAUUGUAAACUUCUUUUAUAUGGGACGAAAAAAGGUCUUUCUAGAUCACUUGACGGUACCAUAUGAAUAAGCACCGGCUAACUACGUGCCAGCCGCCGCGGUAAAAC